rnacentral:rRNA from 1 species
UACGGAGGGUGCAAGCGUUGCUCGGAUUUAUUGGGCGUAAAGGGUAGGUAGGUGGUCUUAUUUGUCUAGGGUGAAAUCCUUGAGCUUAACUCAAGAAGUGCCCUAGAAACGGUAAGACUGGAGUCCUGGAGAGGGUCGUGGAAUUCCCGGUGUAGCGGUGAAAUGCGUAGAGAUCGGGAGGAACACCAGAGGCGAAGGCGGCGACCUGGACAGGUACUGACACUAAACUACGAAAGCGUGGGGAGCAAACAGG